UACAGAGGUCCCGAGCGUUGUUCGGAUUCACUGGGCGUAAAGGGUGCGUAGGUGGUUGUGCAAGUCUGAUGUGAAAUCUCCGGGCUUAACCCGGAAAUGGCAUUGGAAACUGCAUGGCUAGAGUGUUGGAGGGGGGACUGGAAUUCUCGGUGUAGCAGUGAAAUGCGUAGAUAUCGAGAGGAACACCAGUGGCGAAGGCGAGUCCCUGGACAACGACUGACGCUGAGGCACGAAAGCUAGGGGAGCAAACAGG
rnacentral:rRNA from 1 species